rnacentral:rRNA from 1 species
CCCUUCCUACGGGACGCAGCAGUGAGGAAUAUUGGUCAAUGGGCGCGAGCCUGAACCAGCCACGUAGCGUGAAGGAUGACUGCCCUACGGGUUGUAAACUUCUUUUAUAAAGGAAUAAAGUGAGGCACGUGUGCCUUUUUGUAUGUACUUUAUGAAUAAGGAUCGGCUAACUCCGUGCCAGCAGCCGCGGUAAUACGUAGGUGGCAAGCGUUGUCCGGAUUUAUUGGGCGUAAAGCGAGUGCAGGCGGUUCAA